GACGAACGCUGGCGGCGUGCUUAACACAUGCAAGUCGAACGGAAAGGCCCUGCUUUUGUGGGGUGCUCGAGUGGCGAACGGGUGUGUAACACGUGAGUAACCUGCCCUUGACUUUGGGAUAACUUCAGGAAACUGGGGCUAAUACCGGAUAGGAUCUCCUGCUGCAUGUUGUGGGUUGGAAAGUUUCGGCGGUUGGGUUUUGACUCGCUGUUUAUCAGCUUGUUGGUGGGGUAGUGGCUUACCAAGGCUUUGACGGGUAGCCGGCCUGAGAGGGUGACCGGCCAAAAUGGGACUGAGAUACGGCCCAGAAGAGUACGGGAGGCAGCAGGGGGGAAGAUUGCACAAUGGGCGGAAGCGUGAGGAAGCAACGCAGCGUGCGGGAUGACGGCCUACGGGUUGUAAACAGAUUUCGACUGUGACGAAGAGUGAGUGACGGUAAUGGGUAAAGAAGCACCGGCUAACUACGUG
rnacentral:rRNA from 1 species